rnacentral:rRNA from 1 species
GACGAACGCCGGCGGCGUGCCUAACACAUGCAAGUCGAGCGAGGUUGCCUGGACUUCGGUCCGGGUACACCUAGCGGCGAACGGGUGAGUAACACGUGAGAAAUCUGCCCUAGAGACCGGGAUAACCCGGGGAAACCCGAGCUAAUACCGGAUGUCCUCAUCGAGUCGCAUGGCUUGAUGAGGAAACAGUCCGCUGCUCUAGGAGGAUCUCGCGGCCUAUCAGCUUGUUGGUGGGGUAACGGCCCACCAAGGCUAUGACGGGUAGCUGGUCUGAGAGGACGAUCAGCCACACUGGGACUGAGACACGGCCCAGACUCCUACGGGAGGCAGCAGUGGGGAAUCUUGCGCAAUGGGCGAAAGCCUGACGCAGCAACGCCGCGUGGGGGAUGAAGGCUCUCGGGUUGUAAACCCCUUUCAGCAGGGACGAAAUUGACGGUACCUGCAGAAGAAGCCCCGGCCAACUACGUGCCAGCAGCCGCCGUAAAAC